rnacentral:rRNA from 1 species
ACAGAGGGUGCAAGCGUUGUUCGGAAUUAUUGGGCGUAAAGCGCGUGUAGGCGGUUUGGUAAGUCGGAUGUGAAAGCCCUCGGCUCAACCGAGGAAGUGCGUUCGAAACUGCUGAACUUGAGUACCUGAGGGGGUGGCGGAAUUCCCCAAGCAGAGGUGAAAUUCGUAGAUAUCGGGAGGAACACCAGUGGCGAAGGCGGCCACCUGGAAGGUAACUGACGCUGAGACGCGAAAGCGUGGGUAGCAAACAGGA